ensembl:lncRNA
UGAAAUUCCAGGGCUGCAAUAAUAAAUAAUCAUAAUAAUAAAUAAUCAACAACAUGUAUAGUAUAAUCAGUCAUACUGUACAGUACCGUGAGGGUUCUAGUUCUCAUCAACAUCACAUCUUAUGUCUUCUCUGGCGAUACAUGAUGGAAAGUAUCUUCUGGAAUGUCAAAUCCAACCCUGGCAGUCGUCAGGAGAAGUGUCUCCACACCCUGCAUUCAUGGCAUCCAGUAAGGAUGUCAGUCUGGUCAUGUCAUGUGGAUGGUGCUCAUGAACUUUCCACCUCAAUGCAGAGAAAACUCCUCUGUGGGGUUUAAUAAGGGGGAGUAUAGAGGCAGGAAUAGUACUGACAUGCUGGGAUGUGCAGCAAACCAGUAUGUGACUGCAGCGGAGUGGUGGAGUUAAACAUUAUACCACACAGCAAUGAAGGUAGGGGAGUUUCUUCCUCCUCGUUCCUCCGCUGGCCCAAGUCAAUUAUGCAGGACAUCCAGAAAAGAAAUGAGCCUGUCUGUAUUGUAGGGGCCAAUGAGUGAUCUGUGCAACAGCAAACCAUCACUGGACAGUGCUGCACACAUUAUGAUGUUAGCUCGCUCCACGGAUGCUCUCCGUCCAAUCACAUUUCUUCCCCUGCGGCGUGUUCUCGCCAGGUUCAUCCAGCUUUAUCUGUCUGGUAGCGAGACCAAAAACAGGACACUUAGGUAGGCUUUCAGCUGAAAUUACAAUCAAUUAUGUUUGGAAUGAUUCAGUAUUCUGCUAAGAUUUUCUAUAGAUUUCAUUCUGGUUACUGUAGAACUGCACGAUUUGAACGCGUUUUUAACAGUUUUGGGAGCAGUGUGUUGGCAUUGGAAAACGUACUGGAUGUAAAUGUCUAGUUUUGCAGGUGGUGGAGUGUGAAUGAGAAACGAGUUCACGGAUUUCGGAGAACGUGGUCACCGAAUGCAUUUUGUGUGAAAGCGACGAAAAACGAUCGACAGUUUGGUCAUGCGCUUCUGUUUCGCUGACCGUGUGAACAGUUGCGACAACGUGACUUCCGUUUGGACCGAUACAUGUCGGCGAUUGAAAAAAAGAAAAGGAAAAAAAAAAAACCCACCUGUAAUAUUUCUGUGGAAAAAAAAGAAGAAGAAAAAAUCUUUCUAAUGGCAAUAAUUUUAAUCACCACAUGCAUGAGCAUGCACCGCGGUUAACAAACCUUAAAAAGUCGCUAGCUUAUUGUACAAAGUGGCGCGUUCCACUCGCGGAACUUGGGUAGAUAAAUUAGCGAAUAAAACACUGACCUGUUUUUUUUGUUUGUUUGUUUGUUUUUUAAACUAAAUCCCAUUAUCUAAGCGAGUGACCGAGACGUUAGCUGAGCGACAUGGCUGUUGCGUAUUUCCAUCGGCGGUUUUUGCACUUUAGACUUUUUAAUCUACAAACCUUCAGCCACUGACGACAAACGGUUGGGAAGAAACACAAAGAUAAGCGUGAUAAGCAAUGAUUAUUUCAAAAAUGUAUCUGUUUCGCUUGGAAAUGUAGAAAGUCCGAGCACCUGUCAGACCUACUUGGCUUCCUUUCAGACCUCGAGUGCACUAUCUACACCCUUUUAUAUGACCUAAAAGUGUAGUGCACUUAUCAGAAGUAGGAGCUCAUUUAAAAUGCACCUUGAAAUUUUUGUCCCAAAUGGCUCCCUAUUGCACACGGUGCACUAUCAAGCAUGUAGAUGUUAACUUAUAGAUUAUAACGUACACUUGUAAAGCAAAUAGUGAGUUAUUUGGGGUUAAUUUCAGAUUUUAUUUUGAUUUUUCUGUGCAAAUUUGAGUUUAUUUUGCUUUAUAUCGCCAUAAUCUUAGGCACCAUAUGCUGCAUUAUUCUGUGAAUGAAUAAAAAGAAAAAAUCCCGAAUAUCUCCUUAAAGAACAUAAAGCACUACAAAAGGUGUAGAAGCCAGUAUGUCAUACCCUAUAUCCUAUACCCUAUGUAGUGCACUUAUAUAGGUAUUGGAAAGCCUUUUAGGAUUCAGCCAGAGACUUGAAUGGUUUUUUUUUAAAGAAAAACAACCAAUUUCUUGGUUUUAAGUUAACAGUAGUGUUGGACUGUUUUUGAGUAUUUCCUCUUGAUUUUUUCCCCCUAUUUAUGUUCUCUUUUAUCAUCUCAUUUUGAUCAAGUGUUAGUUUGCUGGGUUUGUUUGUUUGUUUAUUUUAUUUUUUUUAAAUGCAUGACGUUUGAAGUCUCUUAAAUACUGGAUGAAUAUCGAUGAUGUCCAUCGGGUUGUUCCGGCCGCUUCAGUUCGUUUCGUUUUCACCGUCAGUCGCUUGAGAAGGAACAAGAUUUGUCGUGUUUUUUUUUGUUUUUGGAGAAUGUUUUCUAUUUUUCCAGACAGCUGUCGGUCAUAUCUUAUUUCCAUGCUGUGCCUUAAAUAUGACUGCACACUCGCGUGGUCGUGUACGUGUAUGCAACAUCCAGAGCUUUGUAGAGCUAUUUCGUUUUCAUUUUGCACUUACGUACUGUGCUAUGUACUGAGCAAAAUUCUCUCUUAAUCCCAUUGUGUUUUGUUCGUAAACCUUGUACAUGGCAAAAAUCAUAGUGUUGGGUUAACUCUGAAGGUAUCGGGUGUCCAGCUGGACUUUACACAUUGAAGAAGAUUCACAUGUUAAUGUACAGGGUAGUUUACACAGCAAGGUUUAAUUCGACAGUCUCGGAGUUCGUAAGCCUAGGUUUUUACUUUACUUUUUAAAGUUAGCAUUGUUUACGUGGUUGGACAAACCAUAAAUCUAUUAGCUAGCCUACUAGGCAAGUAAAACCUUCAUGUUUUUGUUGCCCAGAAUCAGACUAUUUGAAAAAGCAGACGCUAGCAUAGUGUAAUAACGUAUGGCGAGCUACUUAGCUUGUCACGUGACUUAAUAUACGGAUGAAAGGGAACUUUAUCCUCAUUGAACAAAACGUGUAAUGUAGCACAUCAUGUUUGCACCCUCGACAAAAAGUCGUUAGCCAGCGUGUUUGUGUACGAGACGUGGUAUUCCGUCCUUGCUUUUCACGUAUAACAUUUUCUCUCUUUGUAUGUUGAACCACGACGUACCUGUGUGUAGUAAGCAGGAGAGGUAUAUCCCUCUACUGCAUGAAUUAUUACAUUUACAUUAAAAAAAAAUAUGUUCGUAUGGAUUUUUUAUUACUUGAAUUAGUUCAAGAGUGGAAGGUAGUUGGUAAAUCGUUGCCAUAUGGCAACAAUGUGCAACGGUGGAAAAUAUCAUAUAGUCAAAAAUAACACAAAAUAUAUGAGAUUUCGAUUCCAAUUACUGCAUUUUCCAGACUAUAAGUUGCAGGGGGGUUUUUUGUUGUUGUUUUUUUUGCCACCGAGUAAGCAUGUCAAAGUUAUAUCUUCUAGAAAGGAAUUACAGUUGUAAUAAUAUGCGGAUGGAUUUACUUACUCAAAUACAUUAAAAAAAAAUUUUUGAUCCAAAUAUAUUUUGGGUGAAGUAUCUUUUAAAAUCUUUUUCUUUUGAAUUCUUAAUUCUUUCUGAUGAAACAUAAUAUUUCGAACAUAAGGUACAAUUGCAAAAUUGCGACAGUUUUUCUCACUUUGAAUGUGAAAAAAUAUAAAUAUACUAUUAAAGAAGCGCACUGACUUUUUUUUUUUUGGGGGGGGGGGGGGGGGGUAUGUAGGACUGUUUCAAUUCAUGAACUCACAUACAACAGUUCCGUUAUCACCUGUUGUUGUUGUUGUUGUUGUUGUUGUAUGGAAACGUUUGCAUUUUACCAUUAAAAAUAUAUAAACUUGUUUAUAUGACAAAAAAAAUAAACGUUAACUCGGAUAGUGUUUCAUUUUUUCCCCUUUAAUUAGUUUAGCCUAAAUAUUGAAAAAAAAUUAAAUUAAUAAUAAUAAUAAUAAUAAUAAUAAUAAUAAUAAUAAUAAUAAAUAACAUUUUGAUAGCCCUCCAAGGAUGGCCUUAACCAUGCCAUGUGACUGGUCAUCUAAUAUGGCAUCUUUUUUAUUAUGUUGAGGGUCAAGCCCUCUUUGUCCAGUUACUUAGAAAAAUAGUAGUUUUGUAUUAUUGCCCAUCAAAAAAAUUGGAGAUAAAUUCAGUGUUGCCAUAUGGUAACACCAUGCAGUAAAGGGAUAUGCCGACUUUUGUGCUACACUUUAUUUUCCUUGAUCUCGUCAGUGUUUUCACAUACAUGCGUAUUCCUGAUUCCAUAAAGACUGUCUGGUAUCCAUGCACACUAAUUAAUCCAUCUAGUCGAUAUGUGUAGUGCAGCAGGAGGUGGAAUUUGGGUUACACACCGAGUUACACACACUGUAGUUAUAGCAUCGAAGUAACGCACCACCGUGAAGUGUGUUGUGUACAAAUGAAAACGUUUGUUUUGCUAGUAUCUGUACUGGGCAACUACGAAUUAAAAAAAAAAAACAACCCAGUCCCAGGCACCUGGGCUCCUGAUUUUUCCACCCAUGAUUAAUAUUUAUAAAUCGUACCACUUGGUCCUCACUUGCUGUGCAAAUACAAGUUUAAAUAACCUUCAUUGCCUUCAUUACUUCACCUUCUGUUCUACUUUGAGACUGAAAACAAGUCUAAAAUCAGCAUGUGUCCCAAACACUAGGAAUUGAUUGUAGAGUUCUUAUUAGAAUCCAUCAUGAAUAUUAAAAUGUCAUUUGAAACACAACGAAGAGUCACUUUUAGCUAUCAUGAUCAGCUAGCUAAUCACAUUAUGAGCGGUUAAAGAGAUAUCUACAGAAAUGAUGAAGCACGUUUAGCUAAUCCUUACUGAGGGAAGAUGGAAAAGAUAAACAAAUGUGACCUCGACCUCUAUGUUUUUUUAAAUAAUAUAGCUAAUUUGAAACUGUUUGAAUAUCCGUAAGCAAACUUGCCUUGAGCCACCGUAUGAGUGCUGAACAGCGUGAGGAUUUGAGCUGUUUCUAGUAAGAACGCUGACUAGACAUAAAUCCUAGUGUUUGGGACAUGGACUGUUUCCACGUCUAUCAUGUCUGCUGUUUAUUUGCUUUGCUAAUCUCUAAUUACGACAUAACGAGUAGGUUAUUAGCAGGAUCAUGUAGCUGAUACGGUUUUGUUACUCAGAGAGGAAUUGAGUUGCUGGUGAAAGGCUCUAUAUUUAUUUGAUCAUCUUAGGACGACCUAACGAACUCGACAAACCCUCCAUAAGCAGUGGGUUUUAUAGCAA